CCCUGUAUGCCUUGGCGUUGGAGUUUCGUACCAAGGUACCCGUAAGUCGUACCAGGGUACCCGUAGAGUUUGAUCUUGGCUCGGCUGAGUAAUGUCUGGGAAACUGCCUGAUGGAGGGGGAUAACUACUGGAAACGGUAGCUAAUACCGCAUAAUGUCGCAAGACCAAAGUGGGGGACCUUCGGGCCUCAUGCCAUCAGAUGUGCCCAGAUGGGAUUAGCUAGUAGGUGGGGUAACGGCUCACCUAGGCGACGAUCCCUAGGUGGUCUGAGAGGAUGACCAGCCACACUGGAACUGAGACACGGUCCAGACGCCUACGGGAGGCAGCAGUGGGGAAUAUUGCACAAUGGGAGGCAAGCCUGAUGCAGCCAUGCCGGGGGUGUGAAGAAGGCCUUCGGGUUGUAAAGCACUUUCAGCGGGAAGGAAGGCGGUGAGGUUAAAAACCUCAUCGAUUGACGUUAC
rnacentral:rRNA from 1 species